rnacentral:tRNA from 1 species
CCAAAAUUCAGUGGGUAGAAUGUGCGACUCUUGAUCGCAGGGCUGUGAGUUCGAGCCCCACAUUGGG